rnacentral:rRNA from 1 species
UACGUAGGUGGCAAGCGUUGUCCGGAAUUACUGGGCGUAAAGCGCGCGUAGGUGGUUCGUUAAGUUAGGAGUGAAAGCCCCGGGCUCAACCUGGGAAUUGCUUCUAAAACUGGCGAGCUAGAGUAUGGUAGAGGGUGGUGGAAUUUCCUGUGUAGCGGUGAAAUGCGUAGAUAUAGGAAGGAACAUCAGUGGCGAAGGCGACCACCUGGACUGAUACUGACACUGAGGUGCGAAAGCGUGGGGAGCAAACAGGAUUAGAUACCCCCGUAGUCCCUGAG